CUACCAUUUCCUCUCCACUUUGGGUCAUCUUUUCAACUGGAUCAGGAAACAUGGGAUUCUUGUGAUGAUUCAAUAUUUCCAAACUCCAUGAGGUUACCCCAGACAGGUGGGGUUGGUCCUCAUUACCUUCCCAAGGCCCAACAAGCGUCCAUGACACUUGUUCCCCAUGUAAGUGAUCUAUAGAUGUAUUGCUGUGCGUGGCAAUACAUUUUUUAAAGAUUUAUUUACUACUUGAAAGGCAGAGUUAUAGACAAAGAGGGAAAUCAGUGAGAAAUCUUCCAUCCACUGGCAGAGUCCCCAUAGAACCUCAAUGAGCAGGUUGGACCAGGCCAAAUCAGGAGUCCAAAACUCCAUCAGAGUCUCCCAAACAGCUGGCAGGGCGCAAGCACGAGACAUCUUACACUGCUUUCUGAGGCACAUUAGCAGGGAACUGGAUCAGAAGUGGAGGAGCAGGGACACCAACCAGGGAUCCCAUUAGGGGUCCCCACAGGUGGCGCUUGAACCUGCUGCACCACAAUGCCAGCCUCAGGUGGCAGUAUAUCUUUAUCUUGGCCUCCAGAGCUCCCAUAUUAGACAAUAAUAUGAUUGGUAGAAGAUGACAAGGACAAAGGAAAUGGACAAGAGUUAUGAGACAAAACAGAGGAAGGGAAACAGGAAGGCUGGAAAACAAUGAGUUGCACACAUCGACCCAGUGGCUACCUAUGGAGGAACAAGGUGACACUUCUUAGGCACAGUGAUGGGAAUCUGAGGCAGGAAGAAGAAGGCAAAGUUCAGAGAUCCUCUCACUUAUACAGAGGCUAUGUGGCUGCAUCCGAACAUUCCCUCGGGAGCAGCGAUCUGGGAACAUCUUCAGCUGCUCGGAAGUCUGCAGUGUGGAGUCCUUGGACCCAGAGGAGCUGGAGCUUCCCACACCAUCGGAAGCUUGAACCACACAGGAGGAGACACAACAGCAGCCACGGCCCUCCUCACCAGUCCUCUGCGAGCUCUGAUAUUAAAUCAUCACCGAGCACCAGUUGGUUUCAUAUGGUUUUGUCUAAUAAAGCACAGUGUAGGAAAACAAGCUUAGAAAAGGUAUAA
rnacentral:lncRNA from 1 species